CUAUGGCUAUGAAAUCUGAAUAAACAAUAUUUUUGGUGUUGAAUCGGAGCGCAAUUUUUUUAAAGCACCUGGAACACAUCUUUACUGUUUUCGACUUCAUACGCGAAGUUAACCCUUCAACUCAGCAAAGACAAUACAGAAUAUACGAGUAUACAAUAAAAUUGGGGUAUUGGUAAUGGUUAAGGGAACAGGAAGAGAAAGGAAACUGAGAAAGAAUUAGUUUUUCGUUGGCUCGAUGAGUAGCUUACCAACAACCAACUUUAACUUCUACUUCAACUUCACCCAUACGUUAUACCUACAUGAACAUGUAAAUUAUAUACACAACGCGAAGGCUUAUUUAACAAACUAAUAAAUAGUAAUUAUGCACUUUUUAUUCAAUUAAUGAUUUAACCAACCUGGUGAAUUGUUUCUUGAGUUUUUUGUUUUAUGUAUGCACUUUUCACAAUUUUGUAUUGUAUUUGUAUAAAAAAUAUUUGUUUGUAUAUAUAUUAAAGUAUUUUCUUACAAGUCUUUAAGUUUACACAUUUAGGUUAUUUUUUUUUUCUUUU